rnacentral:lncRNA from 1 species
GUUUUAAAAAUAUUUAAAAUGUUAAAUAAUUACCAAAAAUAGUUUUCAUAAUAUUAAAAAUGUUUAAUAAAUAUAGAAAUUUAUAUUUUAUAUAUAAAAUACAUAAAACGUUUUAUAACCACAAAAAAAUGAUUUUAAAUAUUAUAUAUAUGAUUUUUAAUCUUAAAAAAAGUUUUACAGAUUUUAAAAAUGUUUAAUAAAUAUAUAAAUGAAUUACAAAAAAUAGUUUUAAAAAUAUUUAAAAUGUUAAAUAAUUACAAAAAAUAGUUUUCAUAAUAUUAAAAAUGUUUAAUAAAUAUAGAAAUUUAUAUUUUAUAUAUAAAAUACAUAAAACGUUUUAUAACCACAAAAAAAUGAUUUUAAAUAUUAUAUAUAUGAUUUUUAAUCAUAAAAAAAGUUUUAUAGAUUUUAAAAAUGUUUAAUAAAUAUAUAAAUGAAUUUAAAAUGCAAAAAAUAGAUUUUAUAUACAAAAAACGUUUUCAAUAUAUAUAUAUAAUUACAAAUUCGAUUUUUAUAACCACAAAAUUAAUAAAAACUAAAAAAAAAAAAAUUCAAAUCAAGUGAAAUACAUAAUCAAACUCGAUUUUACUCAAAUCUACCAUUCACCCUAACAAAAUCUAUAAAUCUCAUUCCAAAAUCAUCAAAUCUACUUAAAAACCAUACAAAUCUAACCUAAAAGAGUGGGAUAGGGUUCAUACAUGUGGAAAUCGCGAGGGAGAAGAGAGAAAGCGCCGUAAAUCGCAAGGGAGAAGAGAGGAGUCGACGAAAUCGCAGGGGAAAGAGAGAGUGCGGCGGAGAGAAAUGGGGAAGAAGGUCGGGCUCGACCUAAUAAAAUGAGGGGUCCGACGGAAAUUAUCCGUCGGAAUUUCCUCGGAAAUAUUUACUAUAUCCGUCGGAAUUUCCUCGGAAAUCAUUAAUUCAAUUUUCGCGAAAUAUUUGGCGGCUUGGUUUACCCGGUUAAAUGAAAAUAUUCCGAGGAACCAGGUUUCCUCGGAAUUUCCUCGGAAUUUACCGAGGAAAUUCUGAGGAACCAGGGUUUGGGGUUUCAAAACAUCGAUUAUUUUCGCCGUAUUUCAUUUCUUAUACAAUUAUAAUGCAUACCAUUGAGGAUUCUUUGUAUAGAUGAUCAUAAACCAUGAAAUAACAAAAUUUCAAAAAUAAUUGUAAGUAUUCC